AAUAAACCAAUUUUUUACUUUUUACUUAUAAUUUUUGACUAUUCGUCUUAUUCAAUUUUUUUUACGAUUGAUAUUUUUGUUUUUAUUAGAUGAUAAAUCAUAAAUAAUACUUUACGUGUGACUAUUUUUUUCUAAUUUCCUGAAAAUUUUUUAAAUAAGACGGAUGGUCAAAUGUUUGAUACGAAAAUCGGAGAUUG
rnacentral:pre_miRNA from 1 species